AGGACCGCGGGAUCCGGACGCUCUGUGCGGGGCGCAGCCUGCGGGGGCUGCCCAGGGAAGAGCCCCUUCCUCUCUCCUUCUCCCCUCCCUCAGGCUCCUUGGAUAUCCGAGAAGGCUCCCUGGAGGAGAUGAUGCUCUCGCGAUGGUGAUGCCAAAGUAGCCAGCCGGCGCUUUGUUCACACCCCUCCCUGGGACGGGAACCUGGGUGACAGAGCAAGUCUGUGGCCAGGUGUCGUGCAGGUGAAGAGCUGGAAACCUUCUGUGUCUGCAGGAACUCUAGCACAAAUGACCACUGACCGCUUGAAACACAGCCGCUGCCGCGAGAGAGGAAGGGAGUUUUUUGUUGUCAUCGUUCAUUGUAGUUUAAAUAAUUUUCCUGAGAUGGUAAGAAACAAGCAAAGAACAUUUGUUCACCGGGAGUCAUUAUAAAGAACGUGAAGUCAAGCCACAAAUUAGGAGAAGCUAUCUCCCAUACACGUAAGCGACAAGCGGUUUCUACCCAGUAAGACAUCAAAGCUGCCCCACACGUCAGUGAGAUGUGGGAUCCGAGAGAAAAAUGGGCAAAAGACACGAAAAGGCCCGUCACAGAGCAGGAAACAGAAAUGGCCAAGAAACAUGUGAAAACCGGGUUAGUAGUCAGGGAAAUGGGAAUUAAAGUCAUAAGGUGAUGCCCUUU
rnacentral:lncRNA from 1 species